rnacentral:sRNA from 1 species
AUCAGAGCAGAGUCUCCUUGCUCUGGGCUGCUCCAGGCCAGGCCAUGCGGGCGAAAACAGAAGAGCAGAUUGCAGCGGAGGAGGCCUGGAAUGAGACGGAGAAAGUGUGGCUGGUCCAUAGGGACGGCUUCUCACUGGCCAGUCAACUCAAAUCUGAGGAGCUCAACUUGCCUGAGGGGAAGGUGCGUGUGAAGCUGGACCACGAUGGGGCCAUCCUGGAUGUGGACGAGGAUGACGUGGAGAAGGUGGGCAGGGGGCUGGGUGGGGGGAGGAGGCUCAGGAGUGCACUGGGCAGGGCAGGCCCGUCCUCUGGCAGCGGAGAUGGGCUCUGCUGCUUCAAUGCCCACCCACCUGUCCUCCCACACAGGCUAAUGCUCCCUCCUGCGACCGUCUGGAGGAUCUGGCCUCACUGGUGUACCUCAAUGAGUCCAGCGUCCUGCACACCUUGCGCCAGCGCUAUGGCGCUAGCCUGCUGCACACGUAUGCUGGCCCCAGCCUGUUGGUUCUUGGCCCCCGUGGGGCCCCUGCUGUGUACUCUGAGAAG